GUUUCAUAAUGAAAGGCAGAAUAUAAGAAUCCAUAAACCUAAUCUCAUUAGGUGUAGAAUCACACAUAUCAUUUCAAUCGACAUUUUUGGUUCUUAACAGACAGAUCAUAGAGUAAUUGGAGCAUAUCAAUAGAGUAUAAAAUGUUCCGGAGCAUAUCAACGGCAUAUGGAACAUUUCGGAGCAUGCCAAUAACAGAUGAAAUCUUUCGGAGCAUAUCAACAACGAAUGAAACGUUUCAGAGUAUAACAACAACAAAUGAAACGUUU
rnacentral:lncRNA from 1 species